AAACUUUGGAUUUCUUAUUAAUUAUUAUAUCGAGAUCUCUAUAUUUUAUCCUCAAUAAAAUGGAAACCAAAUUAAUAUUCCGGAUGAACUAGACCUUUUAGAACAAAAUACUCCUUCGUAAAUGAAAAUCCUAAUUAUUUGUGCUUCAAAUAAACUCCUUUAGUAUAAAACUAAUUGAAAAUCGAGGCGUCAUUUCUUUUCAAACAAAAUUAUUUUUUAAGAGAAGAAAUGACAACACCAAAUCGAGAGAUCUGAUAAAUUCAUAUCAUGAGGGGAGAAUCUUGAGCUAGUUCUGACAAAUAAUUAUUCAUAAACAUUGUGUAUUAAUAUUUCCCAUCGAUGGAAAAGGAAUUGAGGAUUAUAAUCAAUGAUCAAUGAAACGAAGGGAGCUCUUGUUUCUUGUGCUUAUUGAAAAGUGACUAAUUGGAAAAAAUGGCAAGAUUCUUUUAAAGUGAUAUUUGACCAAUCACCAAUAAUAUAAAUAUAUAUAUUAAGUUAAAAGAAAAAUAAAUAAACACGACAGGGAUCGAAUCAAAGAGACAACAUACAUAGAUAGAUUGAUGAUAUGAAGAAGUAGUUGACGCCGUCAAAAAAGAAGAAAUAGUUUUUAAAAACAUUCGAAUUAUCAUAGUUAGAUAUGUUAAACACAUAGAGAGCGCUUAAAAUAUUUUUAUUUUAUAUAUUUGUUUAUUGUAAUAUAAUCAUUUAUAUUACAAUAAUUAUAUCAAUAUAGAUAUAUCAAUAACUUAAUAAAGUAUUUUAAAUAGAUCA
rnacentral:lncRNA from 1 species